UUAGCAAGAUGUUUAGGUUGGUUAGUUGAUUCCCUCGCUUUGUGGCAGAUAGGUUUUGUAGUUUCUGCCAAGCGGGUAAUUAGAGAGAGAGAGAGAGAGAGAGAGAGAAAGUGUAACUGUAACUGUGUAUUAAUAAAGACUCCCACCACAUUUUGUGCUUGAGGGAUCAUUUUGAUUUUGAGAUCAUCCACUUUCGCUGGAGAUUCCAAGCAGGUUUUUAAGGAGAAAGAGAAGCAAUGAUGUUGCAGAGGAUAUCAACCUUCGCGGUUUGGUUUUCUUUUCAAGAUAUGGUCACUCGUUUUCCAAGGUUUGAUUUUGUUUUCUCCAAAAGCUCUUCACUACUGUAUCUUCGAGCGAGGGGCCUGCCAACUUCCUCAUUCUUUACAUCUCAGGCGGCUGCUUCUUUGCAAUCAGUGGGUGACCCUGCUACUUACAGGGGAGAUGAUGAAUAUGCUGAUUUGAGCUGGGAUGACCUCGGAUACGGUCUUGUGCCCACCGAUUAUAUUUACAUGAUGAAAUGUUCAGAUAAUGAGAAGUUCUCACCUGGUGAACUCAGUCGCUUUGGUAGGAUUGAGUUGAGCCCAGCAUCUGGAAUCUUAAAUCAUGUGCAGGGGCUGUUUGAAGGUCUAAAAGCUUACCGGAAAGAAGAUGGUCGUGUGCUUCUGUUUCACCCGGAACAGAAUGCUAUGCGUACGAAGAUGGGUGCCGAGAGAAUGUGCAUGACGUCACCCUCUAUUGAGCAAUUUGUUGAUGCAGUGAAGCAAAUGGCUCUUGCCAACCAGUGUUGGGUUCCACCGUCAGGGAAGGGGUCUUUGUAUAUUCGACCUUUGCUUAUGGGAAGUGGAGCUAUGCUGGGUUUGGCACCAGCUCCUGAAUACACAUUCGUCAUAUAUGCUUCACCUGUUGGCAAUUAUUUCAAAUUAGUUUGUCUUUGCCUUUAUUUUUUUUUCCCCAUUUACAUAUUUUAUUACAUUUUUCAUCAAAAAUAAAAAUUCUAGUUGGAACAACUUGCUUGUGGAAGAUGAAUAUCAUCGUGCCACCCCUGGUGGAACUGGAGGUGUGAAAUCCAUAUCCAACUAUGCGCCGGUUCUGAAAGCGCAAACUCGGGCAAAGAGUAACGGAUUUUCUGAUGUUUUAUUCCUAGACUCCGUGACAAAGAAACAUCUGGAGGAGGUCGCUUCUUGUAAUGUUUUUGUGUGAAGG